AUAUUUUAAUGCAUGAAAGCUCCUUAGUAAAUUUUUUUAGCAACGAUAUAUGUAAAGAUGCAUUGUCAAGAUUGUAUUACGAUUGUAUGUUGUACUUCAAACUGUAUGAUGACUUAGUGAUAAGUCUCGGUGCCAUCUCCAGCAAUAAUUUUCAGUAAUCCAAGGCUCAAUGGUCUAAAAAGCAAUGGUUGAUUCUUCAAGAUAUUUUCAUGAAAGUUCCAAUUUGAAUGCUUCAUGACUCUAAUCAAACAUAUAUUUCACUUUAGAUGACAUUGUCAUUCUCCAAGAUUUUGAUUCUUUGUAUGUUUUCUCUGUAAGAUCACAUGUCCAUUUCUUGUAAAGUGUUUGAUAUUUGAAGAUGUUGAAGCAGGUCAACAAGUUAAAGACAACAACACUUGAAAUACCCACCAGCCUUGAAAUAUAAACUAUAAUCAUGAAUAGAAGGACUCUGUGGUAUAUUGCAUGUAUUUUCAUUACUUUUUGUAUUGUUACAUAAUCCACCAUUAAGGUGCCACAAAGCAAAUACAGACAAAACCAGUCUGUAGGAAGGUGCCACAAAGCAAAUACAGACAAAACCAGUCUGUAGGAAGGUGCCACAAAGCAAAUACAGACAAAACCAGUCUGUAGGAUAAGUUAUGGCCUUCACCAUUUGUUAAGCUCUCAGUAGAUGACUGAUAUAUCACUGGGAAUCUUGUGAUCACCCAGAACCAUUUGAUCAUGAUUAAUUGCAUGCAUUAAUGAUUGAGGAUAUGUGGUCAGCAUUAUAUUGACCAUGUUUUGGUCUCCUAAACACAGAUAUAUAUAACUUGGGAGAAGAAAUAUUUUCUGAAUAGGCACCCUAGGAGAUAAUGUUCAUUCAUUCUUAUACCUCAAAAGAAUUUUGGUUUUGUAGAAAUAUUUGAAUAAUCCUGGUAAUAACAUCAGUGUUUCAUCUUUGUAUCGACCUGUUACCUGUUUGUACACUUGAUUGUUUAGGAGAACAAAUAAACAGAGACGUGAAAGGAAAGGUUAUAUAAAUGGUUAUAGUGGGAACUAUUUUAUAAAUAGUUUUGCAGUACAUAGAAGACUGAAGUUUUCGACAAAUUGUUUUCAUGAAAUGGUAUGAACACUAUUUUUAUACAUUUUAUGUAUCUUGAGCUUGAAAGCAUGUGAAUAUAAUUCUGACAACUUGUAGUGUUAUGUACAAGUUUGUAAGUAAUAAACCUGUUUUCUACACCUUGA